rnacentral:rRNA from 1 species
AGGGGGGGGGCCUAUAAUGGCAGGUCGAACGAACUCUGGUAUUGAUUGGUGCUUGCAUCAUGAUUUACAUUUGAGUGAGUGGCGAACUGGUGAGUAACACGUGGGAAACCUGCCCAGAAGCGGGGGAUAACACCUGGAAACAGAUGCUAAUACCGCAUAACAACUUGGACCGCAUGGUCCGAGUUUGAAAGAUGGCUUCGGCUAUCACUUUUGGAUGGUCCCGCGGCGUAUUAGCUAGAUGGUGGGGUAACGGCUCACCAUGGCAAUGAUACGUAGCCGACCUGAGAGGGUAAUCGGCCACAUUGGGACUGAGACACGGCCCAAACUCCUACGGGAGGCAGCAGUAGGGAAUCUUCCACAAUGGACGAAAGUCUGAUGGAGCAACGCCGCGUGAGUGAAGAAGGGUUUCGGCUCGUAAAACUCUGUUGUUAAAGAAGAACAUAUCUGAGAGUAACUGUUCAGGUAUUGACGGUAUUUAACCAGAAAGCCACGGCUAACUACGUGCCAGCAGCCGCGGUAAUACGUAGGUGGCAAGCGUUGUCCGGAUUUAUUGGGCGUAAAGCGAGCGCAGGCGGUUUUUUAAGUCUGAUGUGAAAGCCUUCGGCUCAACCGAAGAAGUGCAUCGGAAACUGGGAAACUUGAGUGCAGAAGAGGGACAGUGGAACUCCAUGUGUAGCGGUGAAAUGCGUAGAUAUAUGGAAGAACACCAGUGGCGAAGGCGGCUGUCUGGUCUGUAACUGACGCUGAGGCUCGAAAGUAUGGGUAGCAAACAGGAUUAGAUACCCUGGGUAGUCCAUACCGUAAACGAUGAAUGCUAAGUGUUGGGAGGGUUUCCGCCCUUCAGUGCUGCAGCUAACGCAUUAAGCAUUCCGCCUGGGGGAGUACGGCCGCAAGGCUGAAACCUCAAGAAAUUGAACGGAA